UACGGGGGGGGCAAGCGUUGUUCGGAAUUACUGGGCGUAAAGGGCUCGUAGGCGGCCAACUAAGUCAGACGUGAAAUCCCUCGGCUUAACCGGGGAACUGCGUCUGAUACUGGAUGGCUUGAGUUUGGGAGAGGGAUGCGGAAUUCCAGGUGUAGCGGUGAAAUGCGUAGAUAUCUGGAGGAACACCGGUGGCGAAGGCGGCAUCCUGGACCAACACUGACGCUGAGGAACGAAAGCCAGGGGAGCGAAUGGG
rnacentral:rRNA from 1 species